AGUCGGUCAGACGGUUGCGGAUAUUUUAUAUCUGAGGAAAGUCCGAGCCCCACAGGGCAGAAUAGCGGCUAACGGCCGCCGAGGGUGACCUUAGGGAAAGUGCAACAGAGAUAUACCGCCGUACAGCUUAGGCUUACGCCUUUGAGUGUUUAUGUGCCGCCUGUACGGUAAGGGUGGAAAGGCGAGGUAAGAGCUCACCGGUCUUACGGGAACGUCAAGACCCUGUAAACCCUAUUCGGAGCAACGCUGACUGUGACUAUACAUCUGCCCGAUGUGUCACGAAAAGCGGCUUGAGCGUUCGGAGCAAUCCGACGUCGAGAUAGAUAACCGUCCACGACAGAACUCGGCUUACCGACCGACUCU
rnacentral:RNase_P_RNA from 1 species